UGCCAGACUCCUACGGGAGGCAGCAGUGGGGAAUAUUGCACAAUGGGGGAAACCCUGAUGCAGCGACGCCGCGUGAGUGAAGAAGUAUCUCGGUACGUAAGGCUCUAUCAGCAGGGAAGAAAAAAAGUCUUUGGCUUUGGACGGUACCUGACUAAGAAGCCCCGGCUAACUACGUGCCAGCAGCCGCGGUAAUACGUAGGGGGCAAGCGUUAUCCGGAUUUAUUGGGUUUAAAGGGUGCGUAGGCGGAAUGCCAAGUCAGCGGUAAAAUCGCGGGGCUCAACCUCGCUCCGCCGUUGAAACUGGCGUUCUUGAGUGGGCGAGAAGUAUGCGGAAUGCGUGGUGUGGCGGUGAAAUGCAUAGAUAUCACGCAGAACUCCGAUUGCGAAGGCAGCAUACCGGCGCCCAACUGACGCUGAAGCACGAAAGCGUGGGUAUCGAACAGGAUUAGAUACCCCCGUAA
rnacentral:rRNA from 1 species